rnacentral:lncRNA from 1 species
ACACUCCAUGCCAAGGAGCGCAAGUUGGACAUUUCGCUGCUGGAGCACCUGUACGAUCACUACCCGUACGAUUUCUCGUGCAAGAUCUUGCUGUGCGAAAAGUACCGAGCGCACGAAGCGAUCAUCAAGUUUACGUAGGAGCUGUUCUACGAGCAGAAGCUGAUCACGUCCGGCAAGCAGCCGAGUCACAAAAGAUUCGUCCCCAGAUGGCACAGCACCUGAGGGCCAGGGCCGACCGUUGAUUCCACCGCCGAUGAGGAGUCCGGUCCAGCAGCAGCAGCAAUAGUAACAACCCAGCCAGCCAGCCCUUCCAAACUACGGCUCAUUCCCACCCCACCACCAGCCCCAACAUCCACGCCAUCAGCUGCACCAGAACCACAUUCGCCCGGUCAUGGGCGGCGGCGGUCCCAUCAGCCCAAGUUCGUUUACCGACUUGAUGGCAUCGAUUACGGCCUGUGCCGCUUCGCAAAUGCAAAUGCCCCCUCAGCAGCAACAGCAGCAGCAGGUUGUAGCGGCGGUGCACCAACUAUAGUGCAAAUUUGGAGCUGGUGGCAAAAGAAAGUGCUUAGACAACCCGGUUCAGUUUGAGUCCCGGCCGAUUUGAGUCCGGCACGAAUCAGGUGCGCGUCGGCUGGACCCUCGGGGAAGAAAUCGCUCAAUUCCAGCGAAGCUGCUCAAGAAAGCGGAAAAAACAUCAUCAGCAGUAGCAGCUACAACUACAGUAACUAUAAGUGCUCCGUCUCACCGGAUGUCCCCACCCGCAAGCACAAAAAGUCUCGCCGAUCCUCGUCGUCGGAGUACAUCCGCGAAAUCACAAGCAAGUCGUCCCGCUGGUCCCGUCCCCCCUCUACUCCAGCAGAAGCCGGAACAAGCACGAAGCGUCUCUUUCACCGGUGUGAACCAGCAACAAGUCCACCCGUCACCAUCUCCCGUCAGCAGCGUUUCUUGAUUCCAAACGCGAUCGUCCCUCUCACCGGUCAGCCGCAGCAAGUACGCGGUGAGGUGGCGUCCUCACGCUGGCUGCGGCGGUCUCAGAUGCUUUAGAAGGAGUUGACCAGAACCAACAGUGUACAAUCCAAACCGGCGAGGACUCACGAGACGAACAGU